UGAUUUAAUUCUUUCUUUUAAAAGUCUAACUGGGUGGGGGGGGGCAUCCGGUUAGCCCAGUGGAUUGAGAGCCAGGCCUAGAGAGUGUGAUAGAAGCUGGCACUAAAGAAAAAGUGCCAGACUGAAGAGUAUAUGAAAUUGAUCACCUCGAUGGGGGCGGGGCCCCAGGAAUGGAUUUCCUGAGAAGAGUAGACUCUGGCUGGAGAACAGUGAGGGUCAGUCAAAGAGAGAAGGUGAAUAAAGACUUUCUUCUGAGGGUUACCCAUUUUUCCUGCUGGUGACUAGAAAUCUUUCCCCCCAACAUUUCUCAAUUAAAGGGACAUUCUGAAGAGAAACCUGAGCAGACUUUACCUCAGCUCCUAUUGCCCAGGGGUUAACUUUUUCAGACUACAAAUUGCAAAUGAAGUGCUGAUCUAUGAUUGGAGUUCUCUCAAGAGAAAUUCCCUAUAUGGACAAAAUCACAGGAAUCUUUGGCUUCAGUCUUCAGCUUGGAGCUUCGACUGGUGACUUAUCUCUUGGAGGUGGCUUUGGACUUGGACUUCAGCUUCCAUUUGGGACCUUGACUUCUUGGACUGCUCCUGGAUCUUCUGCUUUGUACUUCAUCUUGGCACGAUGAACAUGGAGAUAUGUAUUUCAUGAGAACUCAUGUGGGACCUAUAUCAUAUUAUAGCCUUCUUGGGGAGGGAGCAAGGAUAGGACAGAAGAAGAGGAUAUGGAAUGCAAAAUUUCAGAAAAUGAGUAUUGAAAAUUGUAUCAACAGGUAAUCUAGCAAAACAAAAAAUAAUUUUAAAACAUGUAUUUUAAGUCUUUA
rnacentral:lncRNA from 1 species